rnacentral:rRNA from 1 species
CCUACGGGUGGCUGCAGUUGGGAAUCUUGCACAAUGGGGGAAACCCUGAUGCAGCGACGCCGCGUGGAGGACGAAGGGUCUAGGCCUGUAAACUCCUUUUCUCAGGAAAGACUUAGGACGGUACCUGAGGAAUAAGCACCGGCUAACUACGUGCCAGCAGCCGCGGUGAGACGUAGGGUGCAAGCGUUGUCCGGAUUUACUGGGCGUAAAGCGCGCGUAGGCGGUCUGUUAAGUGUAGAGUGAAAGCUCCGGGCUCAACCCGGAAAUUGCUCUGCAUACUGGCAGACUUGAGGGAUGCAGAGGUUUGUGGAAUUCCUGGUGUAACGGUGAAAUGUGUUGAUAUCAGGAGGAACACCCAUGGCGAAGGCAGCAAACUGGGCAUCAUCUGACGCUGAGGCGCGAAAGCGUGGGUAGCAAACAGGAUUAGAUACCCUUGUAGUC